GCAAGUCGAGGGGUAACAUUAAGAAGCUUGCUUUUUAGAUGACGACCGGCGCACGGGUGAGUAACGCGUAUACAAUCUGCCUCAUACUGGAGGAUAGCCCUAAGAAAUUGGGAUUAAUACUCCAUAGUAUUAUUAGAACACAUGUUCUUGAUAAUUAAAACUCCGGUGGUAUGAGAUGAGUAUGCGUCCCAUUAGUUAGUUGGUAAGGUAACGGCUUACCAAGGCAGCGAUGGGUAGGGGGCCUGAGAGGGUGAUC
rnacentral:rRNA from 1 species